UUGGAGGGCAAGUCUGGUGCCAGCAGCCGCGGUAAUUCCAGCUCCAAUAGCGUAUAUUAAAGUUGUUGCAGUUAAAAAGCUCGUAGUUGAAUUUCGGGAUCAGUACGCCGGUCGUGCCUUCGGUACGUACUGGUGUCACUGAUUCCUCCCUUCUGACGAACCGUCAUGCCAUUCACUUGGUGUGGCGGGGAAUCAGGACUGUACUUUGAAAAAUUGAGUGUUUAAAGCAGGCUCACGCUUGAAUACAUUAGCAUGGAAUAAUGAAAUAGGACGUUGAUCUUAUCUUGUUGGUUUCUAGGAUUGACGUAAUGAUUAAUAGGGAUAGUUGGGGGCAUUAGUAUUCAAUUGUCAGAGGUGAAAUUCUUGGAUUUAUUGAAGACUAACUACUGCGAAAGC
rnacentral:rRNA from 1 species